AUAAGCCCUCAUUCCCCCAGCCCUUUGUUCCCAAACGUGAUGUUUGGUACCUGGGAACAGUAGUUCUAGAGUUUCAAGAACAAGCUGGUAUAAGGCUAGAACUGCUGUUCCACCCUUUUUCUGGAACAAACUUGUUUUUUGAUGAGAACAAGGUUAAUUAAAAUCUAAAUUUAAUUUUAAUAGCACUAAAUUAUUAAUUAACCUAAUUAAUAUAUUUUAAUUAUUAUUUAUUGCUUUAAUAAUUAAAUAAUUAAUUAAUUUAUUAUUUAUAAUUAAUUAUUAAUAAUUUGAUAAUUAAUAAUAUUAAUUUAUUUAUUUAUAAUUAAUUAUUAAUAAUUAAUUUAUUAUUUAUUUUUAAGUAAUAUUUUGAUGUUAAUUAAUUACAUAAUAUAAUUUUAAUUUAAAAUUAUAACUUUUAUUCCUCUUGUUCCAAUCUAACCAUCCAAAUAUUAUUUACCUAACAAUCCAAUUUUUAUCCAAAUACAAAAUUGGUCUAAUUCCUACUUAUACCUGAACUUGUAUCUAUUCCUGAAACUAGCCGUUCUUAUUUAUACCCGAACCAAACGCAUCACGUACAAAUACAACAAUAAACCAAAAUAUUCCAAUUUCUAUUUUUUUUCAUCUUGAUUAUUUAACAAGAAACAAAAAAAAAUCUUACUCUAUUUUAUUUUUCAUCUUUCUCAUUUCUCCUCCACAAAAAUGUUUAGA
rnacentral:lncRNA from 1 species